AAGAAAAUGGCAGAGAGGUUAUGCGUCUGACUUGAAAUCAGAGUACGGGGGUUCAAUUCCCUCUUUUCUCG
rnacentral:tRNA from 1 species